GACGAACGCUGGCGGCGUGCUUAACACAUGCAAGUCGAACGGAAAGGCCCUGCUUUUGUGGGGUGCUCGAGUGGCGAACGGGUGAGUAACACGUGAGUAACCUGCCCUUGACUUUGGGAUAACUUCAGGAAACUGGGGCUAAUACCGGAUAGGAGCUCCUGCUGCAUGGUGGGGGUUGGAAAGUUUCGGCGGUUGGGGAUGGACUCGCGGCUUAUCAGCUUGUUGGUGGGGUAGUGGCUUACCAAGGCUUUGACGGGUAGCCGGCCUGAGAGGGUGACCGGCCACAUUGGGACUGAGAUACGGCCCAGACUCCUACGGGAGGCAGCAGUGGGGAAUAUUGCACAAUGGGCGGAAGCCUGAGGCAGCAACGCCGCGUGAGGGAUGACGGCCUUCGGGUUGUAAACCGCUUUCGCAUGUGACGAAGCGUGAGUGACGGUAAUGGGUAAAGAAGCACCGGCUAACUACGUG
rnacentral:rRNA from 1 species